CUGUUAAAAACAUUUUGAAAAUUGAAGUUUUGUGUGUUCUUAUUGUAAUUUAUUUAUUUUAUAACAGGUAAGCUUUAUACUGAAAGCUUCAUUCCCUUUAAAGCAGAGUUUUUAUAUUUGAGGUAAUCUUGCUGGGAGUGAAGGCAGUGCGUAUGAUCGCUUGAUAUGAGACACACAUACUAUUUUUAAAGGUGAUGUAUGCAUGUUACUUUCAAUCCAGGCAUUAAAAUAAUAGUUAUUUACUGUUAAAAACAUUUUGAAAAUUGAAGUUUUGUGUGUUCUUAUUGUACUUUAUAUCGUUUAUAACAGGUCAACUUUAUACGUAAAAUUCAUUCCAUUUAUAACAGAGUUUUCAUAUGUGAGGUAAUCAUCUUGCUGGGAGUGAAGGCAGUGUGUUCUGUCCAAUAGUGACCCAGCCCUGGGUUAAAAGCAACCCAGCAUUUUUUAGAGUGUACGAGAGACACAUUCUAUUUUUAAAGGUGAUGUAUGCAUGUUACUUUCAAUCCUGGCAUUAAAAUAAUAAUAUUUACUGUUUAAACAUUUAGUAAAUUGAGGUUUUGUGUGUUUUUGAUGUACUUUAUUUCUUUUAUAACAGGUCAACAUACUGUAAGCUUCAUUCCCUUUAAAGCAGGUAAUCUUCAUAUUGUUUUAAAUGAUAUAUUUAGAGGACUCUGCUUUAACAAUGACUUAGGAUAAUGAUUUGUUAUAGUGUUUGUUAUCAAGCAUA